rnacentral:rRNA from 1 species
UUGCGCAUGGGCGAAAGCCUGACGCAGCGACGCCGCGUGGGUGAAGAAGGCCUUCGGGUCGUAAAGCCCUGUUGUAGGGGACGAAGUCCUAGCUCUGAAUAGGGGUUAGGGUGACGGUACCCUACCAGAAAGCCCCGGCUAACUACGUGCCAGCAGCCGCGGUAAU